rnacentral:tRNA from 1 species
AUUCUUAUAGUUUAAUAAAAACAUUUUAUUUUCAUUAAAAAGAUGAUUUUUGAAUCUAUGAAUA